CAUGCAUUGUUUCAUUUAUCUCAAUAUUCACUGAGCACUUAUUUUGCCCCGGGCAUAGAUCCAAGUAUACAACAAUGAAUAAGAUUUUUUUAUUUCUAAAAGAACAUGUAGUUCUCUAUACACACCAGAAUUUCAUCACAUUCCCGCACCUACGGUAAUUCAUCAGCAAAAGAAGCGAAACCCACAAGAUGGACCUAAACCAGCUCUUUUUAGAAGGAGAUUCUGAUGUAUGCUCAAGUUUGAGGACCCCUGCUGUAAAGGCAAAUCUUUCCAUUUCUAAAAUUCUAUGAUUCUACCUGGCCUGAUAAUCUUCACCAACUCAAAGCCAUCAUCAACUCCACCAUCUUCUCAUUAAGCAGACUUCUUGGUCUUGAAAAGGAGACGUAAGUCCUUGAAAAUAAUUAGUGAUAUGGCCAAUCAACUUCAUGGUAUCUGAGCCUUGCCACUUCCUCUGAACCAGCUCUGCAGAUUUCAAAACUCUCUGGGCUCCAACAGGGCUGGUCACAUGUGGCCUAUGAAAAGCUCUCUCUCUACUGUGCUGCUGCCUGGGGAAUGUCCUCUGGCUCUGCCUCCACACCUACUUGAUCAGCCUGCCAGGCCAAGAGCCAGCUCUUUACAUGGGCACCCUCACCUCUCUCUUAUGGCCUCUCCCUGCUUUGGCCUUAAUGCUUUUGACCAAGCCCUUAACUCCUGGUGCAGUGAUGUCAUAUUCUCUGUACCCUAUGCCUGUUACCAAGGCCAAAAGUACCUACUCCUACACCCAGCCUCACCAUCUAUUUAUCCAGCAGGUGAGUGUGGGUAUCACCUUGAUUGACUUGCACUUAUUACAAGAUGAGAAUCCUGAAGAGCAGUUUGGAAACCACAUAUCUCCUAGUUUGGCCACUAACACUACGUGCUUAGAUCUCUUUUGCUGGUCCCCAGUUGCUGCGGUAAAACCAAUGAGUCUUUAGUUGUGGCCCUGAUUGAGUCCAUGAAAUAACCUACUAGGAGCUCUAGUAACUGCUCUGCUUUCAUUCUCUAGUCCCACUCUGGGGGCCCUAAGUCCCUAUUAUGGACUGAUUUGUGUCCCACUAAAUUCGCAUGUUGAAGUUAUAACCCCCAGUACCUUAGAAUGUGCCUGUGUUUAGACACAGGGUCUUUAAAGAAAUAAUUAAGUAAAAACAAAGCCAUGUGAAUGAGCCCUAAUUCAAUAUGACUCGUGUCUUUAUAACAAGAAGACAUUAGGGUACAGAUAUGCACAGAAGGAAAACCAUGUGAGGACACAGGGAAAAGGCAGCCAUGUGCAGACCAAGGACAGAGCCAUCAGAAGAAACCAACCCUGCUGACACCUUGAUCUAUUUCUAGCCUCCAGAAUUGCGAAGAAAUGACUUUCUGCUAUUUAAGUCACCCAGUGGUCCUUUAUAUGGCAGCCCUAGCAAACUAAUCCAGUCCCUAAUGCUGGUUUCUGGCCUGUGAUCCAGCUUCUGCCCCUGUUCCCAGUUCUCCUUUAAAAUCCCAUAACAAAUUCUUUAAGGAGGAGGAAGCAGCAGCAGCAUCUAUCUUUAUGGACUUGUAAUGAAAGACAUGAGAGUCAGAGAUUCCUUCAAAAUUCCUGCAGAGAGUAAGGUGUAUGAUGAGCACGCAUGGGGCAUGCAUAUUUUUCUUUGUUUGUCUUAUGCUACUGGCCCUUCUUUUUAUUUUGCAUUUUCUCCCAAAUAAGAUACAAACCCCAGAGUUCUCCAAUUCUGGAUGUGACUUUCUAUACAAACUGGGACUUGGCUUUACUGUAAUCAACAAGCCCUGUUUGAAUGUCUGCCGUAUACAUAUCCCCAUGCUAGGCCCUGUGAGUUAGAGAGGACUGUUUGAUAAUAGAUAUGUGACUGUGUGCAUUUGUAUAUAAUCUGCUAUCUUGGGGAGAUGGUGGCUAUACAGAGAACUUGAAAACAUUUGUGGAAAAUGGAAUGAGAAGAUAAAAAUAAAAAAUAUAAACUUUGUUUCUCUACAUAAGCUCCAGUAAGUUCAAGACACUUUUGUAAGUGAUGAUAUCAGCCGUUCAGUAGUCCAUACCUACAGAACUAUGGAGCCUGGGAAUUUAACCAUGUCAGUGCAAUCUUUUUGUUCUUAACUGAAGAAAAAUGGGUGCCCUUUAAGGAUU